GAUGAACGCUCGCGGCAGGCCUAAUACAUGCAAGCCGAACGGCAAGUUUGAUAGCAAUAUUGGACCUAGAGUGGCGCAAGGGUGCGUAACACGUAUGCAACCUGCCCGCGACAGGAGGAUAGCUCCCCGAAAGGGGAAUUAACCCUCCAUAACACCAUGAGAAGGCAUCUGAUUAUGGUUAAACCGCAAGGGGUCGGAUGGGCAUGCGGUUGAUUAGCUAGUUGGCGGGGUAAAGGCCCACCAAGGCGGUGAUCAAUAGGGGUUCUGAGAGGAAGGUCCCCCAAACUGGCACUGAGAUACGGGCCAGACUCCUACGGGAGGCAGCAGUAGGGAAUAGUGGACAAUGGUUGCAAGACUGAUCCAGCCAUGCCGCGUGCAGGAAGAAGGCCUUCUGGGUCGUAAACUGCUUUUACCUGUGGAUAAAAUACCCGUGCGCGGGGAAUUGAAGGUAACAGGGGAAUAAGCCACGGCUAACUACGUG
rnacentral:rRNA from 1 species